UACGGGGGGGGCAAGCGUUGUUCGGAAUUACUGGGCGUAAAGGGCUCGUAGGCGGCCAACUAAGUCCGACGUGAAAUCCCAAGGCUUAACCUUGGAACUGCGUCGGAUACUGGAUGGCUUGAAUCCGGGAGAGGGAUGCAGAAUUCCAGGUGUAGCGGUGAAAUGCGUAGAUAUCUGGAGGAAUACCGGUGGCGAAGGCGGCAUCCUGGACCGGCAUUGACGCUGAUGAGCGAAAAGCUAGGGGAGCAAACGGG
rnacentral:rRNA from 1 species